AGAGUUUGAUCCUGGCUCAGGAUGAACGCUGGCGGCGUGCUUAACACAUGCAAGUCGAACGAGCCUUCGGGCUAGUGGCGGACGGGUGAGUAACGCGUGAGAAUCUGCCCUCAGGAGGGGGAUAACGGCUGGAAACGGCCGCUAAUACCCCAUAUGCCGCGAGGUGAAAUGAGAAAUCGCCUGAGGAUGAGCUCGCGUCUGAUUAGCUAGUUGGUGGGGUAAGAGCCUACCAAGGCAUCGAUCAGUAGCUGGUCUGAGAGGAUGAUCAGCCACACUGGGACUGAGACACGGCCCAGACUCCUACGGGAGGCAGCAGUGGGGAAUUUUCCGCAAUGGGCGCAAGCCUGACGGAGCAACGCCGCGUGAGGGAUGAAGGCCUCUGGGCUGUAAACCUCUUUUCUCAAGGAAGAAGAACUGACGGUACUUGAGGAAUAAGCCACGGCUAAUUCCGUGUCAGCAGCCGCGGUAAUACGGGAGUGGCAAGCGUUAUCCGGAAUUAUUGGGCGUAAAGCGUCCGCAGGCGGUCUUGAAAGUCUGUUGUUAAAGCGUGGAGCUCAACUCCAUUUCAGCAAUGGAAACUAGAAGACUAGAGUGUGGUAGGGGCAGAGGGAAUUCCCGGUGUAGCGGUGAAAUGCGUAGAUACCGGGAAGAACACCAGUGGCGAAGGCGCUCUGCUGGGCCAUAACUGACGCUCAUGGACGAAAGCCAGGGGAGCGAAAGGGAUUAGAUACCCCUGUAGUCCUGGCCGUAAACGAUGAACACUAGGUGUCGGGGGAAUCGACCCCCUCGGUGUCGUAGCCAACGCGUUAAGUGUUCCGCCUGGGGAGUACGCACGCAAGUGUGAAACUCAAAGGAAUUGACGGGGGCCCGCACAAGCGGUGGAGUAUGUGGUUUAAUUCGAUGCAACGCGAAGAACCUUACCAGGGUUUGACAUCCUGCGAAUCUUUUGGAAACAGAAGAGUGCCUUCGGGAGCGCAGAGACAGGUGGUGCAUGGCUGUCGUCAGCUCGUGUCGUGAGAUGUUGGGUUAAGUCCCGCAACGAGCGCAACCCACGUCUUUAGUUGCCAGCAUUGAGUUGGGCACUCUAGAGAGACCGCCGGUGAUAAACCGGAGGAAGGUGUGGAUGACGUCAAGUCAUCAUGCCCCUUACAUCCUGGGCUACACACGUACUACAAUGCUACGGACAGAGGGCAGCAAACUCGCGAGAGCUAGCAAAUCCCAUAAACCGUGGCUCAGUUCAGAUCGUAGGCUGCAACUCGCCUACGUGAAGGAGGAAUCGCUAGUAAUCGCAGGUCAGCAUACUGCGGUGAAUACGUUCCCGGGCCUUGUACACACCGCCCGUCACACCAUGGAAGUUGGCCAUGCCCGAAGUCGUUACUCCAACC
rnacentral:rRNA from 1 species